rnacentral:tmRNA from 1 species
GGGGUUGACUGGAUUUGACAGCAAGAUGAGAUGGUACGUAAGCAUGCGGAGUGAUGGCUGUGGACUCCUAAAUCACGUCGGUCAGAAAAUUAAUUGGCGAAAACAACUACGCUCUCGCUGCCUAAUCGAAGUACAGUAGAUUACUGGCUUUAUUCUCUUACUAGGUGAGAGAACGAGACAUCGCUCCAAGGAUGUGGUUCCGAAUCUGAGGGUCAAGCGGUGCAGGAAAAUCGGAAAUAGUUUGUCGGGUGCUCCGACUGUCAGAUGAAUUUUUAGGAGAUAAGGUCAUGAUUGGUGGUCCAGGUCUUGUCAUGGCACGAAAAUAAAGGCUGGAAUAAGCAUGUAGAAAGCGUAUGGUUUCCUUGUUUGGACGAGGGUUCGACUCCCUCCAGCUCCACU